GCCGGGCGGUCCCGCGUGGUGUGGGAACUCGGCUGUUACCCGAGUUGUGCGAGGUUCGACUCCUUGGCCCGGCG
rnacentral:tRNA from 1 species